GCCACCUUAGCUCAGUUGGCCAGAGCAAUGCUUUUGUAAAGCAAAGGUCCUGGGUUCGAAUCCCAGAGGUGGCUCAA
rnacentral:tRNA from 1 species